rnacentral:rRNA from 1 species
GAAUCUUCCGCAAUGGACGAAAGUCUGACGGAGCAACGCCGCGUGAGUGACGAAGGUUUUCGGAUCGUAAAACUCUGUUGUGAGGGAAGAACAAGUGCCAACUAACUACUGGCACCUUGACGGUACCUCACCAGAAAGCCACGGCUAACUACACGCCAGCCGCCGCGGUAAUACGUAGGUGGCAAGCGUUGUCCGGAAUUAUUGGGCGUAAAGCGCGCGCAGGCGGUCCGUUAAGUCUGAGGUGGAAGCCCCCGGCUCAACCGUGGAGGGUCAUUGGAAACUGGAGGACUUGAGUGCAGAAGAGGAAAGUGGAAUUCCAUGUGUAGCGGUGAAAUGCGUAGAGAUGUGGAGGAACACCAGUGGCGAAGGCGACUUUCUGGUCUGUAACUGACGCUGAGGCGCGAAAGCGUGGGGAGCAAACA